CUAUAUUAAGUAGGUAGG
rnacentral:misc_RNA from 1 species